rnacentral:rRNA from 1 species
AACGUAGGUACCGAGCGUUAUCCGGAUUUACUGGGCGUAAAGCGCGUUCAGGCGGUUUGGCAAGUCGGGCAUGAAAUCUCUCGGCUCAACCGGGAGAGGUUGUCCGAUACUGCUGGACUUGAGGGCAGUAGAGGGUGGUGGAAUUCCGGGUGUAGUGGUGAAAUGCGUAGAUAUCCGGAGGAACACCAGUGGCGAAAGCGGCCACCUGGACUGUACCUGACGCUGACGCGCGAAAGCUAGGGGAGCGAACGGG